AUGGGAUGGAGCUUGAUUCUUUUCCUGUUUGCAGCAUCUACUGGUGUCCACUCCCAGGUCCAGCUGCAGCAGUCUGGGGCUGAGCUGGUGAGGCCUGGGUCCUCAGUGAAGUUGUCUUGCAAGGCUUCUGCCUACACCUUCACCAGCUCUGUUAUGCAUUGGGUGAAGCAGAGCCCUGGACAGGGCCUGGAGUGGAUUGGAGAUAUUAUUCCUGUACUUGAUGGUACUAGCUACAAUCAGAAGUUCAGAGGCAAAGCCACACUGACUGCAGACACAUCUUCCAGCACAGCCUACAUGGAGCUCAGCAGCCUGACAUCUGAGGACUCUGCAGUCUAUUACUGUGCAAGACACAGUGUUGCAACCACAUCCUGA